rnacentral:piRNA from 1 species
UAGUGUCAUUGGGUACGCACAGAAA